UGCCGACGAUGUGAUAUGAGAUGUUGUAUUACAUUAUAGAAAUUAGAGUUUUUUGGCUCUGGGGAUAGUAUGAUCGCAAGAUUGAAAAUUAAAGAAAUUGACGGAAGAAUACCACAAGGAGUGGAUUGUGCGGCUUAAUUUGACUCAACGCGAGGUAACUUACCAAUAUUUUAUUGUUCUGCGAGGAUAUGAUCUGAGGAUGAUAAUAGUGGUGCAUGGCCGUUUUCAAUGGAUGCUGUGA
rnacentral:rRNA from 1 species